UACGUAGGGGGCGAGCGUUGUCCGGAUUUAUUGGGCGUAAAGAGCGUGUAGGCGGCCAGGUAGGUCUGCUGUGAAAACUCGAGGCUCAACCUCGAGACGUCGGUUGAAACCACCUGGCUAGAGUCCGGAAGAGGAGAGUGGAAUUCCCGGUGUAGCGGUGAAAUGCGCAGAUAUCGGGAAGAACACCCGUGGCGAAGGCGGCUCUCUGGGACGGUACUGACGCUGAGACGCGAAAGCGUGGGGAGCGAACAGG
rnacentral:rRNA from 1 species